GACGAACGCUGGCGGCGUGCUUAACACAUGCAAGUCGAACGGUGAAAGCGGAGCUUGCUCCGCUGGAUCAGUGGCGAACGGGUGAGUAACACGUGGGCAACCUGCCCCUCACUUCGGGAUAACUCCGGGAAACCGGGGCUAAUACCGGAUAUGACCUCCUUGGGCAUCCUUGGAGGUGGAAAGUUUUUCGGUGAGGGAUGGGCCCGCGGCCUAUCAGCUUGUUGGUGAGGUAGUGGCUCACCAAGGCGACGACGGGUAGCCGGCCUGAGAGGGCGACCGGCCAAACUGGGGCUGAGACACGGCCCAGACUCCUACGGGAGGCAGCAGUGGGGAAUAUUGCGCAAUGGGCGAAAGCCUGACGCAGCAACGCCGCGUGCGGGAUGACGGCCUUCGGGUUGUAAACCGCUUUCAGCAGCGAAGAAGCCGCAAGGUGACGGUACCUGCAGAAGAAGCACCGGCUAACUACGUGCCAGCCGCCGCAGUAA
rnacentral:rRNA from 1 species